rnacentral:rRNA from 1 species
UACGUAGGGGGCAAGCGUUGUCCGGAUUCAUUGGGCGUAAAGAGCGUGUAGGCGGCCAGGUAGGUCGGUUGUGAAAACUGGAGGCUCAACCUUCAGACGUCGACCGAAACCAUCUGGCUAGAGUCCGGGAGAGGAGAGUGGAAUUCCUGGUGUAGCGGUGAAAUGCGCAGACAUCAGGAAGAACACCCGUGGCGAAAGCGGCUCUCUGGAACGGUACUGACGCUGAGACGCGAAAGCGUGGGGAGCGAACAGG